AGAUUAGCUUGCUAAAAUUGUCAGCUAAGUGGCGCACGGGUGAGUAAUGUAUAGAUAACCUGCCCUUAAGAAAGGAAUAACAGUUGGAAACGACUGCUAAUGCCCUAUAUGCCUUUAAUACAUAAGUAUGCAAGGGAAACGCUUUAGUGCUUAAGGAUGGGUCUGUAUGGUAUCAGCUUGUUGGUGAGGUAAUGGCUCACCAAGGCUAUGACGCCUAACUGGUUUGAGAGGAUGAUCAGUCACACUGGAACUGAGUCACGGUCCAGACUCCUACGGGAGGCAGCAGUGGGGAAUAUUGCACAAUGGACGAAAGUCUGAUGCAGCAACGCCGCGUGGAGGAUGACACAUUUCGGUGCGUAAACUCCUUUUAUAUAGGAAGAUAAUGACGGUACUAUAUGAAUAAGCACCGGCUAACUCCGUGCCAGCAGCCGCGGUAAUACGGAGGGUGCAAGCGUUACUCGGAAUCACUGGGCGUAAAGAGCGCGUAGGCGGGUAUAUAAGUCAGAAGUGAAAUCCUAUAGCUUAACUAUAGAACUGCUUUUGAAACUGUAUACCUAGAAUGUGGGAGAGGUAGAUGGAAUUUCUGGUGUAGGG
rnacentral:rRNA from 1 species